GACGAACGCUGGCGGCGUGCCUAAUACAUGCAAGUCGAGCGAAGCGGCGGAUGGGUGAGUAACGCGUGGGUAACCUGCCCUUAAGUCGGGGAUACAAUUUGGAAACAGAUGCUAAUACCGGAUACUAAAGGAUGGACCGGCGAUGCAUUAGCUAGUUGGUAAGGUAACGGCUUACCAAGGCGAUGAUGCAUAGCCCAUUUGAGAGACUGUUCGGCCCCAUUGGGACUGAGACACGGCCCAAACUCCUACGUGAGGCAGCAGUAGGGAAUCUUCCACAAUGGACGAAAGCCUGAUGGAGCAACGCCGCUUGAGUGAAGAAGGUUUUCGGAUCGUAAAGCUCUUUUGUUUGUGAAGCGUUAUUCACCCAGAAAGUCACGGCUAACUCCGUGCCAGCCGCCGCGGUAAUUC
rnacentral:rRNA from 1 species